rnacentral:rRNA from 1 species
AUACGUAGGGAGCAAGCGUUGUCCGGAAUUACUGGGCGUAAAGGGUGCGUAGGCGGCCCAUUAAGUCAGAUGUGAAAUACCCGUGCUUAACAUGGGGGGUGCAUCUGAAACUGGUGGGCUUGAGUGCAGGAGAGGAAAGCGGAAUUCCUAGUGUAGCGGUGAAAUGCGUAGAUAUUGGGAGGAACACCAGUGGCGAAGGCGGCUUUCUGGACUGUAACUGACGCUGAGGCACGAAAGCGUGGGGAGC